GUUUAGAGAUGUGAAAGAAUGAGGAAGAAGGAACAAGAAAGGAAGCAAGAUCUCGUCGGCUUAGAAAGGAAAGAUAUGUUCUGGAAUAUCCCUUUCUGCCUAAAGAAAGGUUGACACAGAUGGAGCUUACUCUGUGGGGAUGGAAUGAGCUGUACCAAUGGCCCGACCAGACCACGCAGAGCUCAGAAAGGCCAUUCAGUGUGGAGCCCAGACCAUGAAGACCUGGAACAGCCAAGAGCGCCUCCGAACUCAGCCUCCACUCCUUAUGAUGGGGGACUGUACUCUCCAGGAUCAGUUUGUGAAGGAAAAGCCUGACUCGGCCACUUCCUUGCUGUGGUUCCUCCCCACAGGGCUGUGGGGCUCAGCUGCUCUGCUGCCAACCAAGGGAGAAACUGGUGCCUCAUUUCAGCUGCUUGUCCUCCUGUCUGUCCACAUCUUCACCCUCUUCUCCAGUGAAUCCCCACCAGGAGUACAACUGAGUUUGGGAAUUUGUUUGUUGCUAAGGUCAUGUUGGCUGACAGCCCUUUUCCUCCACACUCAGUCUUCAUCUCAAAAUAAAAGAAACCUCUGGUUUGGUUUGGUUUGGAUUACAAUUCUGCACUGACAGCUUGGUGAAUUUGCACACAUAACCAAAAUUCUUGAGCAAGGCUUGGCAGAAACAGCACCACAGAGGCAAAGGGAGCCUUGCAUGUUAGCCAAGACCAGAAG
rnacentral:lncRNA from 1 species